ensembl:lncRNA
AGGGUCAAAUCCUGCAGGUCCUGACUUUAUUCAAGACACCUUAUAAUUCAGUCAUCUUUUCAAAAAGGAAGCCAUAGAUAGGACCGACAUGUUCCAAAACACCUGUUUUAAAGAUUACUCUGUUAGUAAUUUAGUAACUACUGAGUUGCUAAAGAACCUAGUAAUUUCUAAAUUACUGAGAAAUGGAUUAGAGGUAGUCAAGAGGAGACGCUGGUAUUCCAGGGCAGAGGUUUUAGUAGUUACCCACAACAGAGGGAUAAGAGACAGGGUCAUGCUCUGUCAAAGUAUUCUUGCAUGAUAAGUACAAGUGAAGACCUGGGUAGACCAAAUACCCUGAGUUUUAUGUGAAAUUAUCAGUGGGUUUCCUAGUUAUCACAGCUGAACAGUUAAGGCACUGCAGGUGUCUUUAUUUCAGUUGACCAUUUCUGACAAGACACACUUUGAAAAAUCAACUUCCUCUACAUAAAACAAUAUUUAGUUUAUAAUUCCUUAUUAUAGCUAAAAGUAAAAAAAAAUGCACUAUCCAUAAUAUGUGAAAUGCAAACACUCUGCAAUUUAUUGAGUACUUUAUUUUAGUUUUCAAGAUAAAGGGGGAUAAUACAUGAUAAGAUGCUGUCCUUCAAGAAGUUUAGUUUCUGGUUGGGGGAAGGAGAUAUGAUAAAUACAGAAAUGACUACUGGACAUGAUGGGAAAUGUUAACUGAUAGAGGUGGCACCAUGUAGUUGAUAUUUCAGUUCCGAAAAGGGAGUUGCUGAAGACUGGAAGCUUAGUGGAAAAGCUGGCUUCGAGAGGGGCUUGGCAGGAGUGCGGAAUGUGGAUAUACAGAUGACGAGGAAGGGCUUUGAACCAGCCACAGAAGGAAAACAAUGUAAGAAAUUGUGUCUUCCACUCCAUGAAGGGAAGUCAUGGGAAACAGUCUACAGUCUACACAGCCUGAGGGGCUGUGGUAAUGAACUUGGGCCAUGUGUCAGCACAUGGGUGAGCCAGUAAAUGCUUAUGCAAGUAAAUGGACAGAGAUUCGAUUAUUUGAAGAUGACCUGGAAGAGAUGGGUACGAUUGAUUACAGCAGGAAAGGAGUGGAGUUAGUGAGACUCUAGGGAACACUCUCAUUAUUGAGCCAAAACAUAGCAUGCACCAAGGGCCUGAAACAAGAACGUGGUCUGCAGACAAGGAGAAGAUGAAUAAGAGAUACCAUGAAAUCACAAUUCAAGUUGACUAGAUGUUCAGCCUGAGUUUUGGAAAAAAGAUGUGAUAGGAACUUCGGAGAGAAAAGCAGGUUUGGGAAAGACGUGGAGUUUCUCUGUGACCGUGCUGAGACGGGGUGUGGGCAGGGCAGAGGGGCUUACAUGUUACCAGGUGGCUGGGAAGGUGGACCAAAUUUUAGAAAGUGGUUCGGGCAUCUGUAUACCCAAAUUUGGGAGUGAUCUACAAACAAGUCUCAGUAAAAGAAUGAGAUAACUAAGGGAAGAACACAUAAUGUAUAUUUUAUGAAUUAUUUAAGCUUUUAAAAUAUGAAUGCAUGCUAUUUUUCAAAGUAUAUUUGUUUUCUUAAAAGAAUGAGAUGGAUUUUGUGAUUGGGACAUGGUUUUGGGGCAUAUUCCUGUAAUAGAGAACAGGUUUUAAGAGAAAGAAAAGAUUUCCUAUAUUAACUUGUCUUUAUUUCGUGUUUGUUUUUCCAAGGAGAUGAACGUGAAGC